AGGCAGUGACCCCAGAGCUAUAGAGUUCUAAGCGUGUCAGGCUAAGUCCGGGUGGCUAAGAAUGCAGCCGCUGUGCUCAGACUGUCUGGGGCUCCACAACCUCGCUCCUCCUUGUCCUAGCCUUGGGGAAGAGCUGAUUUCAUGAGCUUCUUCGCCCCUUUCCUCUGAGGACAGCAAUGGUGCUGACUGCACAGGGUUGUUGUAAGAAUUGAACUGAGGUAGUCUGCUUGAAUAAUCCCUGGCACAGGGAGUGUGCAGUAUAGUACAGGGCCAUCAGAAAGCAGCUGGUCACCAUCAUCGCUAUGUGUAACUGCCUUCCCACGGCCGGAGAACAGUUAAUAACUCAGUCUUCAGCCUAAACUGAAGUAACAGCGUCUUUCAUCUUCCUCCCAAGGGCGCUACACUGCCACUGUGGAACACCAAGCAUCUCCAUGACUGUGAAGGCUGCUGGAGCAGAUCAGGUCAACAGCAGGGCUGCCGAGUUCCUGGCCUUUUGCUGUUUUGCAUUUUGGUCCACCUCUAUUCAUCCAAAUCUUUCGUACUCAGAUACUAACUUAGCUGAAUGCCAGAAGAGAGCCUUCCCAAGGAUGUAGGCUUUCCAAUGAAUUCCAACAUAUUAAUCUUCUAUUAUAAAAGUCAUCCGUCCUUUUAAUAAACACCCAUGGAUUUUUUUUCCCCUAA